GAUCCUGGCUCAAAAUGAACGCUGGCGGCGUGCUUAACACAUGCAAGUCGCACGAGAACGCUUCAGCUUGCUGAAGUUAGUAAAGUGGCGCACGGGUGAGUAACGCGUGGGUAAUCUUCCCCCGAAUUGGGGAUAACAUUGCGAAAGCGAUGCUAAUACCGAAUAAUAUCUUUAUUGCUUAGGCAUUAAAGAUCAAAGGUGGCCUCUACAUGUAAGCUACUGUUUGGGGAUGAGCCCGCGUACCAUUAGCUUGUUGGUAGGGUAACGGCCUACCAAGGCCGCGAUGGUUAGCUGGUCUGAGAGGAUGAUCAGCCACACUGGAACUGACACACGGUCCAGGCCCUACGGGGCGCAGCAGGCGCGAAACCUCCUCAAUGCACUUACGUGCGAAGGGGCUACCUCGAGUGCCACCUGAUGAAGGUGGCUUUUCCUAGGUCUAAAAAGCCUUGGGAAUAAGAGGGGGGCAAGACUGGUGUCAGCCGCCGCGGUAACACCAGCCCCUCGAGUGGUGGGGAUGAUUAUUGGGCCUAAAGCGUCCGUAGCCUGCCGUGUAAGUUUCCCGUUAAAUCCAGCGUCUUAAGCGUUGGACCGCGGGAAAUACUGUACGGCUAGAGAGUGGGAGAGGUCAGCGGUAUUCUGGGGGUAGGGGCGAAAUCCUUUGAUCCCCGGAGGACCACCAGUGGCGAAGGCUGCUGUCUAGAACACGUCUGACGGUCAGGGACGAAAGCUGGGGUAGCGAACCGGAUUAGAUACCCGGGUAGUCCCAGCCGUAAACGAUGCAUGCUAGGUGUUGGGUUGGCCACGAGCCACCCCAGUGCCGCAGGGAAGCCGUUAAGCAUGCCGCCUGGGAAGUACGAUCGCAAGGUUGAAACUUAAAGGAAUUGGCGGGGGAGCACCACCAGGCGUGAAGCCUGCGGUUUAAUUGGAGUCAACGCCGGGAACCUUACCGGGAGCGACAGCAGAGUGAAGGUCAGAUUGAAGAUCUUACCAGACGAGCUGAGAGGAGGUGCAUGGCCGUCGCCAGUUCGUGCCGUGAGGUGUUAUGUUAAGUCAUAUAACGAACGAGACCCGUGCCGCAUGUUGCCACCAGAAUCUAAAGGAUUGCUGAGCACUCUUGCGGGACCGCAGCCGAUAAGGCUGAGGAAGGUACGGGCAACGGCAGGUCAGUAUGCCCCGAAUCUCCCGGGCCACACGCGGGCUGCAAUGGUAUAGACAGAGGGCUGCCACCCCGAGAGGGGGAGCCAAUCCCUAAACUGUACCUCAGUUGGGAUCGAGGGCUGCAACCCGCCCUCGUGAACAUGGAAUGCCUAGUAACCGCCAGUCAUCAUCUGGCGGUGAAUACGUCCCUGCUCCUUGCACACACUGCCCGUCGAACCACCCGAAUGAGGUCUGGGUGAGGAAUGGUCGAAUGUUGGCCGUUUCGAACCUGAGCCUCGUAAGGAGGGUUAAGUCGUAACAAGGUG
rnacentral:rRNA from 1 species